CCUACGGGAGGCUGCAGUGGGGAAUAUUGCACAAUGGGGGAAACCCUGAUGCAGCGACGCCGCGUGAGUGAAGAAGUAAUUCGUUAUGUAAAGCUCUAUCAGCAGGGAAGAAAAUGACGGUACCUGAGAAAGAAGCACCGGCUAACUACGUGACAGCAGCCGCGGUAAUACGCAGGGGGCAAGCGUUAUCCGGAUUUACUGGGUGAAAAGGGAGCGUAGACGGCAGUGCAAGUCUGGAGUGAAAGGCGGGGGCUCAACCCCCGGACUGCUCUGGAAACUGUACGGCUGGAGUGCAGGAGAGGUAAGUGGAAUUCCUAGUGUAGCGGUGAAAUGCGUAGAUAUUAGGAGGAACACCAGUGGCGAAGGCGGCUUACUGGACUGUAACUGACGUUGAGGCUCGAAAGCGUGGGGAGCAAACAGGAUUAGAUACCCGAGUAGUC
rnacentral:rRNA from 1 species